CUCUAAUCCUUUCACCACCACACGGAGAUGAGGUCCCUCAUUCUUCAGCCACACAUGAUGUGAGUGGUUGUCAGAGGAACUAAUGAAAGAGGAAGAAAAAAGUGUAGCGCUGGAAGGUAACGAUAAUCUAUUGCACUGGAUCUCCAAAUGUAACCACGAUGUCCAGGAGAAGGAUCACAGAUGCAGAAAUGAAUGCAGAGGUUGAUAUCUAAUGGAAUCCUGCAUUGAUUGGCAUAUUCUCCAUUAUUUCUUGUAGUCUACUAUGAAAUUAGAUACUUUGGAAAACAAUGAAGGUGACUCAAGCAGAAAUCAUAAGAACUUCAUUUCUGUCUUUAAUGGGUCAUGCAAGUUAUUUUGUUUUCACAAAAGAAACCAUCUGUUAGAGUACUAUAGUUUAAUGAAGUUCAGUUAAACAGGUUAUUUAACUAAUUUUUUGUAAAUUUAUAUUGAUUUUAAUAAGUAAUUCUGAUUCUCUUAAAUGUGGUAUCUGCAUUUGCUGAUUCUAAAGUAUCAAUUCUGUUGCACUAGAUUAUCAAAGAGGUAUUAGUAAAAUGCUGUAUAAGGGUGUUGGCAUUAAUCUUACCCCCAGUUAGAUGUGGGCUUUUCCAAAAACUAAACUCCAAGCCUUUACCCUCCUCUGUUUUCUUAGAUCUACUGAUAAAAUCAUAAUAAUUAAAAAAGAACCAAAAAAAACCCAAAAGCAACCAACCAAAAAAACCAAACCAAAACCCCCAAAACAUUGAUAGUAUAACCGGUAUUAAGCUCUGGGCCAGGUUGGAAAUGACAUCAAUUUUUGGUACUAAUAACUGAUAACAAAGAUAACUUUAUGAAAAUAUGGUGUGUGUCUCUGACAAUGCAUAGGACAUCUGAUUUGAUCAUAAGUGUAAGAUUAUAUACAAGAUGUAUCUGUUCCUGGAUGGUAAAAGCUUGAGGUGUAUAUAAAUGCAUACGAAUGUAUAUAUAUGGACAUAUAUAAAAGGAUAUAUCAACCUUUUACCAUCCAAAUACAUACAGGUUUUCAACAAUAAAAGCUGGGACUCUAAAAAAAAAAGAAAAAAAAAAGAAAAAAAUAACAAAAUAACAAAAAUAAAGAUGAGAUUGCUGUGAAUACAGUAUAUGCACUAGGUCUGUAAAUGAGGAACUGUUUGUUACUGUUUUCUACACUGAAAACCAAUCUCCAACAUGGAUCCCAAUGAAUCUGAGAUGUUAAAGAAAGUACCAAUGAACAAAUAGCAUUUAAAGGCUGUUUGUAUCAAAAAAUAAAAGAAAAAAAUAAAAAGAUGUAUCUAGUAAAAUAAAUGUAAAGCACAUGCAAGGAAAAAUAAAAAUGUGAAGUCAUUACAUUGAGUAAGAGAUUAUAACAGACACUCAGAUCUCUACCACUUCUCAAGGAGAGGAUCCUAAUGACUCCAUGAGGAUCCUAAUGACUCCAUGAACAUCUUCAGCCAGUCUAGCAAACGUGCACGUUUGCUGUUUUAUUGAGGUCUCUUUGUGUCCAUGGAAGAAAUGCUUCCAUGCUGAUGGGAGUGGGAAUGGAAUAUCUGCAUUUUUAAAGGACAAACAAUAACUUUAAGCAUGGGUGGCCUUAAUCCUUAGUAGUUUUUCUUUGCUGCUGUAAACGAGAGAAAUCUAAAUGGAUACUCCUAAAGUCUUGCACUGAAUUUAGAGACAUUAUUUUUUGAACCUGUGGUGCAAUUAUCCCUAACAUCCUUCAUGAGCCAUACAUAGUAACCCCUUUCAAAUUAUUGUCUAGAGAUGAUAUUUUAUUUAGUGGUACCAUCAUUCUCGGUGCAAUCAAAGAGCAAUUCAUUCAAGCAGGAGUCUUGCUGGAUGCUACUGUCUUCAGUAAAUAGAGUAAAAUGCAUAGAAUUAGCAUAGCAUAGAUGAUCCCAAUUUCAUUCAUGUUUAAAAGGUUUGUCCUUUAACUAUCAACGGCAUUUUAGAUCUUUGUUUUUGAAACAGCAAAGCUUUUGGGAGUUUAUUUAGCACACAUGACAAAUGUUGCACUUGGAAACUCAGACAACAAAACUAGUUUCUCGUGACAAAGUUGUUGUCGUAGUAGGGGACAAUCGUCUGUGUCUCUUACAAUCAGGUCUCUACCUUAACUCUGCAACUGAAUACUUGAAGUAGGAAAUAAACUAGGGGGAAGUAGGGUCACAGGUACAAAGCUGUAUAGCUAGAUAUUUAUAUGUAUGUGCCAAUUUUGUCACAGGUAUUAUUUUAGGGGCAUUUUUGCUCCGCUCAUGUUGGUAAGAGUAUUGAUCUAAACUUCUAUCAGGGCCUACAAGUUAGCCCCUAAAGAGGAAAACUUUGUCUAACAUUGCUUUUUUUCUUUUCUUCUUUCUUUUCUUCCUUUUUCCCUUUUCAUUUCAUGUGAUUAACUCUGUGCUGUUUGGAGAAAAUCUUUUCAUAUACUAAAAUAGAAUCUCGGGGUUUACAAUAAACACUGUGAUGUUGGGAAAUCUUUUAUUUGAGCAAUGUUUGGUAGGUUCCCCCCUUCCCCCUCUAAGUGUAAAGAAGCAAACCAACUUUUGGUUAACAUUAAGAUUGUUAUUAUUAUUUUCAUGUGAGAUCAGUCUUGUACUUACACAUUCUUUAUUUCGUUUAAAUGUACAGUAUGAAUUUUGUAUUUAAUGGAUUUUGUGUAUCCAGUAUGCACGUACCUGCACAUUUGACUUUCAUUUGAAAGUGGGUUUCAAUUUACUUUUUAAACAGUGUUUAUGAAAAGACCUCAGAUGUGUUGACACAAUCUAUAUCUGCAGUGUUUUUGUGUGUGUAGGGUGACGUUUGAAUGUGAUGUUCUGCAGCAAUGGGUCAGUAUUCCCUAUUUACCUUAGAUCCUCAUUUGAUAGCGCUUCUUGUAACAAUUCUUUGAAGUGAGUGGCAUGUUCUGGAUUGUGAUAUUGAUAUAUGGUUAAGGACAUUGAUAUGAAACUAAGGAAUUCCUAGAAAUUACCAGUGGGCAUGUAUUAGACAGUCAUUGUAAUUUAAUGUCUAGUAGAAGUGUAAAGUACCAAGGUAUUUAGAGUUCAUAACAUUGUUAUCAUGUGUAUGGGAAGUAUUUAGUGUUGAUCAGCUUGUUUAUAUUCAUCAAAUAAACUUGGUUUCUUUCUGAAA